rnacentral:rRNA from 1 species
AUACGUAGGUGGCGAGCGUUAUCCGGAAUUACUGGGUGUAAAGGGUGUGUAGGCGGGGCGCCAAGUCAGAUGUGAAAAUUACGGGCUCAACCCGUAACCUGCGUCUGAAACUGGUGCUCUUGAGAGUGGGAGAGGUAAACGGAAUUCCUGGUGUAGCGGUGAAAUGCGUAGAGAUCAGGAGGAACACCGGUGGCGAAGGCGACUUUCUGGCUGACAACUGACGCUGAGGCGCGAAAGUGUGGGGAGCAAACAGGAUUAGAUACCCUGGUAGUCCACACUGUAAACGAUGAAUGCUAGGUGUAGGAGGUAUCGACCCCUUCUGUGCCGCAGUAAACACAGUAAGCAUUCCGCCUGGGGAGUACGGCCGCAAGAAUGAAACUCAAAGGAAUUGACGGGG